AACACAUGCAAGUCGAACGCCCCGCAAGGAGUGGCAGACGGGUGAGUAACGCGUGGGAACAUACCCUUUCCUGCGGAAUAGCUCCGGGAAACUGGAAUUAAUACCGCAUACGCCCUACGGGGGAAAGAUUUAUCGGGGAAGGAUUGGCCCGCGUUGGAUUAGCUAGUUGGUGGGGUAAAGGCUACCAAGGCGACGAUCCAUAGCUGGUCUGAGAGGAUGAUCAGCCACAUUGGGACUGAGACACGGCCAAACUCUACGGAG
rnacentral:rRNA from 1 species